UUGCUUUUGAAGAUCAGCGGCGGACGGGUGAGUAACACGUGGGCAACCUGCCUGUAAGACUGGGAUAACUUCGGGAAACCGGAGCUAAUACCGGAUAAUCCUUUCCCUCUCAUGAGGGAAAGCUGAAAGACGGUUUCGGCUGUCACUUACAGAUGGGCCCGCGGCGCAUUAGCUAGUUGGUGAGGUAACGGCUCACCAAGGCGACGAUGCGUAGCCGACCUGAGAGGGUGAUCGGCCACACUGGGACUGAGACACGGCCCAGACUCCUACGGGAGGCAGCAGUAGGGAAUCUUCCGCAAUGGACGAAAGUCUGACGGAGCAACGCCGCGUGAGCGAUGAAGGCCUUCGGGUCGUAAAGCUCUGUUGUCAGGGAAGAACAAGUACCGGAGUAACUGCCGGUACCUUGACGGUACCUGACCAGAAAGCCACGGCUAACUACGUGCCAGCAGCCGCGGUAAUACGUAGGUGGCAAGCGUUGUCCGGAAUUAUUGGGCGUAAAGCGCGCGCAGGCGGUUCCUUAAGUCUGAUGUGAAAGCCCCCGGCUCAACCGGGGAGGGUCAUUGGAAACUGGGGAACUUGAGUGCAGAAGAGGAGAGCGGAAUUCCACGUGUAGCGGUGAAAUGCGUAGAGAUGUGGAGGAACACCAGUGGCGAAGGCGGCUCUCUGGUCUGUAACUGACGCUGAGGCGCGAAAGCGUGGGGAGCGAACAGGAUUAGAUACCCUGGUAGUCCACGCCGUAAACGAUGAGUGCUAAGUGUUAGAGGGUUUCCGCCCUUUAGUGCUGCAGCAAACGCAUUAAGCACUCCGCCUGGGGAGUACGGCCGCAAGGCUGAAACUCAAAGGAAUUGACGGGGGCCCGCACAAGCGGUGGAGCAUGUGGUUUAAUUCGAA
rnacentral:rRNA from 1 species